rnacentral:rRNA from 1 species
CGGAACGUGCCCAGUAGCGGGGGAUAACUACGCGAAAGCGUAGCUAAUACCGCAUACGCCCUACGGGGGAAAGCAGGGGAUCGCAAGACCUUGCACUAUUGGAGCGGCCGAUAUCGGAUUAGCUAGUUGGUGAGGUAAUGGCUCACCAAGGCGACGAUCCGUAGCUGGUUUGAGAGGACGACCAGCCACACUGGGACUGAGACACGGCCCAGACUCCUACGGGAGGCAGCAGUGGGGAAUUUUGGACAAUGGGGGAAACCCUGAUCCAGCCAUCCCGCGUGUGCGAUGAAGGCCUUCGGGUUGUAAAGCACUUUUGGCGGGAAAGAAACGGCGUCGACUAAUACUCGGCGUAACUGACGGUACCCGCAGAAUAAGCACCGGCUAACUACGUGCCAGCAGCCGCGGUAAUACGUAGGGUGCAAGCGUUAAUCGGAAUUACUGGGCGUAAAGCGUGCGCAGGCGGUUCGGAAAGAAAGAUGUGAAAUCCCAGGGCUCAACCUUGGAACUGCAUUUUUAACUACCGGACUAGAGUAUGUCAGAGGGGGGUGGAAUUCCACGU